UUAGUUAAGAAACAAUCUAGUCUGCUAUAAUAAGAAACUCACAAUGCAAUGACUUAAAUAAGGAAGAAAUUCAUGUCAUUCUCAUGUAACAAUCUAAGGAGCCCUGGAUAUCAAGAAGCUCAGCUAUGCUGGGACUGAGGCUCCUUCCUUCUCAAUAUCUGAAAUUCUGAAGGCAAUGCUCUUGUCCUAAAGGAAAUGUGUAAUGUGAAGUUAACCUCAAUGUGACGUACCAAGGGCAUGUGAAAUCACGAGGAGAAAGUGCAGUAUUUACUGAGUGAGCAGCUAUUCCAGUCAAUGCCAUUCACAGCAUCCAAAGACAACAGAGGUGCUGGAUCACUGCCAGGCCCCAGGCAUUGAAGCCUUGCUUGCUGCAAUUCUCUUUGGCUAAGUUAGGCACAUACUAAAAUGGAUACAAGGAUCCCAUAGCAAUUGCCUUGUAAGACACUUAUAGGCAACUGAUCACAAGGUGGACAAGGGAAAGCUUUCAAGAACCCUGAAAUUGAAUUUGGAGUAACUAAUACAGCUGGGGAAUGAUAGCGUGGAAUGUCUCAAGGUCGCUUGCAACAGAGAAAGGGGGCCUUAUUUCAAAGAAAUUGCCCUGUCUGCCAAGAUAAAAAUGAGACACACACAGCAAAGAGAAAAGAGCAGCUGCUACAGAGCAUUACCAAGGGAGAUACUGCAAAACAAAUCAUCAGUGGGAAAGAGAAUGAGGAACACCACGAAUUUCUUCCAUCACUGGACAAGAAGCGCUCUCUCCUCUAAUUCAUAGGAUAAAAAGAAAGCUGGCUCCAAAUGGCCAUUUAAGCCCAGUAGGGCCCUUUGCAAGAAUGCGAAAGAGAGAAGAUAACAUGAUUUUCUCCACUGUGUCAAGAUGCAAUGGCUACAUAUACCUCCUGCAGCUGAAUUAUAAAGGCUGGAGCGUGCUUGUGACCAUUUGGACCACAUGGUUCCCGCUGUCAGAAGGUACCCCCCAGAGACAUCAUUUUCCACUGCCUAUGGAUCAGAUGUCCAGCAGAUUCCAGGAGGCACAAUUGUUAAUAGACUGAAAUUGUCUUUGCUUCUGGAGGCAAAAGUGAAGAUAGGCAGGGCAAAGAUUUUCUCUUGUGCUUUCUUCUAGAACUUUUAUAGUUUUAGGUUUUACAUUGUGUAUGAUCCCCUUUGAGUUAAUUUUUUUAUGUGAUGCAAGAUAUGGAUCAAGAUUUGGAUUUGAAUAUGGAUAACCAAUUGUUCCAGCACCAUUUGCUGAAAAGGCUAUCUUUUCUUCACUAAAUUGCUUUUUUAACUUUGAAAAGAAUCAAUUAACCCAUAUAUGUGUGUAUCUAUUUCUGGACUUUCUAUUCUGUUUCAUUGAUUUAUAUUGUCUAUUCUUUUGCCAUUACCACAUGGGCUUGAUUACUGUAGCUUCAUAGGAACUCUUGAAAUUAGGUAGUGUGAUUCCUCCAACUUUGUUCUUUUUCAAAAUUAUGCUGGCUAUUACAGUUCCUUUGUCUUACCAUAUAUAUUUUAGAAUCAGCUUGCUGAUUUUUACACACACACACACACACACACACACACACAAACCUGCUAGAUUUUUCACUAGAACUGUACUGAAUUCAUACAUCUAUAUUAUUAUUUUUUUAAGAUAAAUUGCUUCAUAAAUUUAUUCUGAUGCUUCUGGUUCAAACUCAGGGAUACAGGGGUUUCUACUUUAACCUCUUCUCUGUUACACUUGUGUCUCUUUCCUUCCACACCAAAUAUCCUAGUUCUCUAGGACACUGAAGGUGAUAGAAUUGGAACAUUUCAUAAUUGUUCAUCUAGUUUAUCCCAUAUUACAAACAUAGCCUCUGAAUAAUACUCAUGUUAUAACAAUAUAAUUACUAAUAUUAAUUAAAAACUUUUUUGCAUAUGCCUCUUUUUCUCCCAUUUUUAUAAUUGUACUAUAUCUACAUUUUCUGAACAUAGAGUCAUCCCAUUACUAUAAAAAAUCUGCCUUGAUAUUUUUUCUAAAAGACACACUCAUCUAUUUAUUUAACUUAGUUAUUCUCUGCCUCCUUCAAAAAUGAUUUUAAACUCCCUUAAAAAGAGGAAAAUACAGUUGGGUAAAAAGGAAGAAGCAAAUAUGUUAACCAUAAUUUAAAUAUGUGUUAUGAUUAAGUGCAAUAUUUGGCUCAAUGCAUCCUAACAGCCAAA